UUUGGCUCUCUGACGGGGAGGUCCUUUGGUGAAGCCUCUGCCAUUUGUACAAGUCAUGUUCUGUUGGAAGAGGUGUACGUUCCUUCUGCACAGUGAUCCUCCAUAAAAUGUGCUACUGGAACGCGGCAGCUGCUGGAGUAUAAAACAUACAAACUUUCAAGGUGCAAAGAACAGCAAGGUCCUUUGGUGAAGCCUCUGCCAUUUGUACAAGUCAUGUUCUGUUGGAAGAGGUGUACGUUCCUUCUGCACAGUGAUCCUCCAUAAAAUGUGCUCCUGGAGGAUAAUGCAAACAAAUUGUCAAGGCAUAAAGUGCUGUCUGGGGGAAGAGCUAAUACAAGGUGUGCGGUGCCCCCUGCUGGUCUCAAGUCAUAGGUUGGAGUCUUCUGUAGAGAACUUGCAAUAGUCCGGUGAAUGAGAUUGAACAUCCUGCAUUACCAUAUGUUCUUUGAAGCCAUAUCCCGGAUAGAAUGUAGUCAAGUCAAUGUAACCACUGGAAAAUAAAAGCUACUUACGUUUAA